GGGCCGGGGCCGCGGCGGAGGCCGCGGCUGGUACUGGGAGGGUGGCAGGGAGGGACGGGGAAGGAAGAUGGCGACGUCGGGGGCGAACGGGCCUGGCUCGGCCACGGCCUCGGCUUCCAAUCCGCGCAAAUUUAGUGAGAAGAUCGCGUUGCAGAAGCAGCGUCAGGCCGAGGAGACGGCGGCCUUCGAGGAGGUGAUGAUGGACAUCGGCUCCACCCGGUUACAGGCCCAAAAACUGCGACUGGCAUACACAAGGAGCUCUCAUUAUGGUGGGUCUCUGCCCAAUGUUAACCAGAUUGGCUCUGGCCUGGCCGAGUUCCAGGUGAGUAGACCCCAGCCAGGGAGGAGUGGAGUUUCUUAGGCUGCUUCCUCUGCUGACUUCUGUCCUUUUUGGCAGAGCCCCCUCCACUCACCUUUGGAUUCAUCUCGGAGCACUCGGCACCAUGGGCUGGUGGAACGGGUGCAGCGAGAUCCUCGAAGAAUGGUGUCCCCACUUCGCCGAUACCCCCGCCACAUUGACAGCUCUCCCUAUAGUCCUGCCUACUUAUCUCCUCCCCCAGAGUCUAGCUGGCGAAGGAUGAUGCCCUGGGGCAAUUUCCCUGCAGAGAAGGGACAGUUGUUUCGACUACCAUCUGCACUUAACAGGACAAGCUCUGACUCUGCCCUUCAUACAAGUGUGAUGAACCCCAGUCCCCAGGAUACCUACCCAGGCCCCACACCUCCCAGCAUCCUGCCCAGCCGACGUGGGGGUAUUCUGGAUGGUGAAAUGGACCCCAAAGUCUUUCUCUUUCAAGUACCUGCUAUUGAGGAGAACUUGCUAGAUGACAAGCAUUUGCUGAAGCCCUGGGAUGCUAAGAAGCUAUCCUCAUCCUCUUCCCGACCUCGGUCCUGUGAAGUCCCUGGAAUUAACAUCUUUCCAUCUCCUGACCAGCCUGCCAAUGUGCCUGUCCUCCCACCUGCCAUGAACACGGGGGGCUCCCUACCUGACCUCACCAACCUGCACUUUCCCCCACCACUGCCCACCCCCCUGGACCCUGAAGAGACAAGCUACCCUAGCCUGAGUGGGGGCAACAGUACCUCCAAUUUGACCCACACCAUGACUCACCUGGGCAUCAGCAGGGGCAUGGGUCUGGGCCCAGGCUGUGAUGCACCAGGGCGUCCCCCUGGAUACCAGUAAACUGUCCAUUGACCAGCGGUUGCCCCCAUACCCAUACAGCUCCCCAAGUCUGGUUCUGCCUACCCAGCCACACACCCCAAAGUCUCUACAGCAGCCAGGGCUGCCCUCUCAGUCUUGUUCAGUGCAGUCCUCAGUUGGGCAGCCCCCAGGCAGGCAGUCUCAUUAUGGGACACUGUACCCAUCUGGGCCCAGUGGGCACGGGCAACAGUCUUACCACCGGCCAAUGAGUGACUUCAACCUGGGGAAUCUGGAGCAGUUCAGCAUGGAGAGCCCAUCAACCGGCCUGGUGCUGGAUCCCCCUGGCUUUUCUGAAGGGCCUGGAUUUUUAGGGGGUGAGGGGCCAAUGGGUGGCCCCCAAGAUCCCCACACCCUCAACCACCAGAACUUGACCCACUGUUCCCGCCAUGGCUCAGGGCCUAACAUCAUCCUCACAGGGGACUCCUCUCCAGGUUUCUCUAAGGAGAUUGCAGCAGCCCUGGCCGGAGUGCCUGGCUUUGAGGUGUCAGCAGCUGGAUUGGAGCUAGGGCUUGGGCUAGAAGAUGAGCUGCGCAUGGAGCCACUGGGCCUGGAAGGGCUAAACAUGCUGAGUGACCCCUGUGCCCUGCUGCCUGAUCCUGCUGUGGAGGAUUCAUUCCGCAGUGACCGGCUCCAAUGAGGGGACCUCAUCACCAUCCCUCUUCUUGGCCCCAUCCCCCACCACCGUUCCUUUCCUCCCUUCCCCCUGGCAGGUAGAGACUCUACUCUCUGUCCCUAGAUCCUCUUUCUAGCAUGAAUGAAGGAUGCCAAGAAUGAGAAAAAGCAAGGGGUUUGUCCAGGUGGCCCCUGAAUUCUGCGCAAGGGAUGGGCCUGGGGGAACUCAAGGGAGGGCCUAAAGCACUUGUAACUUUGAACCGUCUGUCUGGAGGUCAGAGCCUGUUGGAAAGCAGGGGUAGAGGGGAGCCCUGGAGGCAGGGUUUGUCCGGAUGCCUAGGGGUGGGCAGUGCCAGCCCCUCCUCACCACUCUUCCCCUUGCAGUGGAGGAGAGAGCCAGAGUGGAUACUAUUUUUUAUUAAAUAUAUUAUUAUAUGUUAAUAAAAAAAUCAUAUC
rnacentral:sRNA from 1 species